rnacentral:lncRNA from 1 species
CCUGAAUUUACAACAAUCUAUUUUUCAAUUAUCUACCAAAAAAUAUUACCACUUUUAAUAAACUAUGUUCUUAAAAAUACAUAUAACAACAUUUUCCUUGUAGAUCUGUCAAGCUCUACCAUGUCUUCAAUACAUAAACCUUUGAAAAGAAAGACUAUCCAUCGGCAACGUCCACAAUCAACAAAUAUUGUAUGUAACAAAAAUCUGUUAUUUAUAAGAGAAAGCAAAAUGUUAGCAUUAUCGCAAGAAAGAAACAAUUGACACGUGAUUACUUUAAUACGAUUUAUGAAUUAUAAAAUACACAUAACCGUGUUAACUUUUCUCCAUCCUCGACUUCUUGUUGAAUGAACACGUUUUCAUUCAACAGCUUUAUCAUCCCAAGAAUGCAAAAAUUUGAAAUGAAUCGUUUAGUUAUAUCAACAGAUCAAAUCAACAACUUGUAAAUUGACAACAAAAUGUAUUGAAAAGAAUAUAUGUACAAAUUAUUUGAGUCAUGUGCAAGUAAAACUGAAACAUAAGUUAUAUAUACAAUAAGAACUCGACACAACUGGAGAAAUAGAUAAUAAGCUUAUUAUAACUCGGCCAACAUUGAGAAGCUUACUAUGUUAACUGCGAUGAUCAAGCUUCUCAAAUUUGUUCUUCACACACACACACACACACACACACAUCUAUGUAUAUACUUGUAUGUGUGUGUAUAUAUGUAUGUGUAUGUGUAUGUUUCUGAACCCUACCUUUGCCCUUGUACUUUACAGACCCGACAUGCCAACUAAAUUUACCACACUUAUAUAGGAAUCUUUCAAGUGAUUUCUUUCCUAUCUAUAAUUGAUUAUGUAAUACUUACACAGAGAAACCAUUGAAAUGAUAAAACCAAAAUUUUUGUGAUCUUUAUUUACUUGUCUGUACUUUGAAUGACAUUCUAGUUGCACCAAAACUUACACAAUUUUGACUUCUGAAAUACAAUCUUUGAUGCCUAUACAAUCUGAACAUUAUGGUAGACAUCUUCCUAAACAUAUAUGGCCCUGUUACACCUGUUCAGAAGCUUAGAAUCUAAAAGAAUUAUUUUUCAAUUUCUGAGAACCAACGCGGCCACGCUGGUUUUGCCUUUCGACAACAUACCAAGACACUCUGUUUUUUGCAUAUUUCGGAAUUCCAACACCAACACUUGGUAUCAUGAAUUAUAAUCACCAUAUUAUCAAUUCAAACUCUUAGAAACAACUCUACUUCAAUUCUUAACAUACAUAUGUUAUGUAUCUUCUAAUUUUCAAAGGUUUAGAUAGUAAACUUCUUUCAAACAUUAUAUCACAUAUUUGGUGGGCAAAAAUUUAUAAGUUUAGUUUUAUAGAGCUUUUAAUAUACUAUAAUCCCAAAUUUCAUACACAUUCUCUGAGCAUCUAACAACCAAUUCAAUCAACACAAAACUAAUACAGAGAAUUUUUCAAUCAAUCGCACCAUCUAAUACUCAUAGCCAUAUACCCCUUUCAUGUAUAACCUUUAUCUAAUAAAAUCAUGAGCAGAUGUAUUCCUCACCUCUUGAUUUAGGAUGAUUCCAAUUUCCUUUAACUUUCAACGUUUAUUCCUCAACAACUCAAAGGUUAAAUGAAGGAAAUUGAAAGUGCAGUGUAUCAAGAGUUAGGCUAAAUAAAGGAAAUUGAGACUGAAAGUUUGGUUUAUAUAAGACUGCCAUAUCUUGCUCCUUACAUUAUAGCUCUGUUGAAUCCUUGGGGUCAUAAUAAUAUGCCAGCUCUUGCUAGGUGUGCUUGAAAAAUUCUCAGCAUCCUAGCUCAUGCUUAUUAGAUUGAUGACUCGGUUCGUUUAGCUUGGCCAUAUAUAAUCUCAAUUCAACCAGUAUUAAUAAGUUAUGGAGUGCAAAGAGAAAGUUAGAAUUCCUUUCACAUGCAACUCGUAACUCCUAUAUUCACCACGUUCUCAUACUUUGUCUCCUACAAAGAUCAUUUGUUGUCUCCUACGGGUGCUUUAAGAAAACUCUAAAAACUACAACGAUGCCACAACUUAUUCAAGCAUCAGUCUCAGCUACUUAUAAAGUUGAAAAAAAUGAAAUUGUUAGCUCAUUUAUAACAAUUAGAAAAUAUUCAACUAUUCCAUUUAAAACAUGUGCACAGACCUAACUACUCCAAUAACUUUUUGCAUAAAUAUUUAGGCUAUAUUAAAUACCUUUUAUUCCAAAUAACAUAUCGCAAAAAUUUCUUAAUGAAAGAAUCAUAAUUAGCACUCAUAAACCCAACAGUAAAACCCUUCAAAAUAACCGAAUAAAAAGUACAGAUUUUAUAAAAAUCUUUGAAACGUCCCUGAUUUUUACUUGAUGAUGCUAAACAGUAUGACCGCAAAUGAUUUUAAAUAUCUUAAAGUAUCCGUGUUUCACCAAAAAAUAUACGGUAAAACUAUGGAAAAGAAACAAAAUCAGAUGAACUAAAAUCACUGAAAACACAUUACCAAAUUCUACUGUGUGUCACCUAAAAUACUAUUUUCAAAAAAUUAAUUGGUCAAAACUCACGAAAUAUGAGUAGGAGAACAGAUAGCCUACAAUGCUCAUGUACCAAAAUCUCUCGACACUCCCACUAAUAUGACAUAAUAAUACAAAAUCUAAGCAUACAUAUAAGAGAUAUCUAAUGUGAAACUUCUAUAAUAUGUUCUAUUCAGACAUCCCCAAUCAAGCCAUGUGAUUUAUAAACUGUAAAGUAAAGUAAAAUUUCCAUUCAAAGAACCACAAUAACAAAAAACAGAAAUAGAAAAUGCUAAAAAAAUCAACAGUUUGCACCAUUGUGCAAAGUCUAGAGAAAACAAAACCAUUAGCCUCAUUGACUACUAAUUAAAAUUUUCAAGAAAACAGGAAAUAAAAACAGAAGACUUAAAAAAAUAAAUGUAUGUCUCUAGGAAAACCAAAAACCCAUCAGCUAAAACUCAGAAUGUCACAAAAAACACUAUGAACGAUCAUUUUCUUCAGGUACGUUGUGAAUCCAUAUGAUUAGCAAAAUUAAGAGACUCAUAUACAGCAAGUGCAAACUCAUAAAUAGAGUCAUGUAUACACAUUAUUACACAUUGUUGUACAAAAAUCUACAAAACCCGCAAAAGGUAAAAGGUAAAACAUAAUGGGCUUACUUCAAAAAUCAACAAAACCCAGUCGAGCUAAAAGUGAAAAUAAUGGGGUUUGCUUUAAACAUGUAUAAAACCCACAAAAGCUAACAAAAGCUUAAAAACAUAAAGGGGCUUGUUUCAAAAAUUUACAAAACCAACAAAAGCUAAAAGCCAAAACAUAAUGGGUUUGAUUCAAAAAUCUAUAAAAAAAACUAAAAUAAAAUGGGGUUUGCUUCGAAAAUCUACGAAACCCACAAAAAUCUAACAAAACCUUAACAACACAAAGGGUUUUUUUUAAAAGCAAUAAACCGAAAAAAAGCUAAAAACGUAAAGAAAAAGAGGCUUACCCUGGUAGAGGAAUAUCAGAACUAACAGCAGAAGCAACCAUGAAUUCCACAAAUAGGGAAAAAGAGAUAAAGCAAACACAAAGAAGAGAGAAGAAAUGUUGUGACCAUACUACAAAUCCAAAAGGGAAUCCAAAGAAAUCAAUAGAAAUGGAAAGAAAUCUUUCUCAUUCAAAGUCCCCAUUAUUGAACCAAAAAACAAAAACAGUAAUUUGAUUUUCUACAAAUUUCUCACCGUUUCUCAUUUCCUCUAUGAAUUACCAUGAUUUACAAUGACUAAUUUGUUCAAGUGAAUUGUGCAUAAUUUCAAGUUUGAAAUCCACGCCUUCUUAAUGUACCUUGAUACUCCACAUGAGACUUUUGCAAUUAAAAAAUCAAUUUUAUGUGCCUCUUUUUAUUGCCAUCAAUAUAUGCUAAGAAUAUAAUUCCAGAACAUUAUAUACGUGUAUGCAGAACUUACAAAAUUUUCAAAUUUGUCAAGUUUGCAAGCUGUGCAGGAAUUCCUCUCGUAAGAUAAUUAUUAUUUAGAUACCUGCACACUUGAGUUGAAGGCGAACCACAAAUAACUAUAUGGGGAAAGUGAAUAUCAUUUGAAAUAGUUCAAAUUUCAUUGACUUACAGGUUGCGAAGAACUGGAAAGCACCCCUCAAUACGAAUGAGUUCCCUUAAAAAUAGUUGAACCAACACCUAAUAAAUUUAAGAAUAAGCUACAUAUUAUAAAGAUGAUAGAGCAAGUGCAUAAAACUAAAGACAAUAUCAAAAGAUAAACAGGAAACCAAAAUUAGUAAACAGGAUAAAAUAUAAGCAUCCACAAAAGCCACAAAGGGAACCAAAAUUACAUGAAAUGCAAUGAUUUUAGGUUGAUAAGUGUGGGCAUACAUAAUUAGACUUAUUGAAAAAAGAAAAUAAUAAAUUAAUCUCCUUACAAACAACAAACUGAGGAAUCUCUUUGAAAAAAUCCACAAUACUAUGAAACCAAGAAAAUACACCCAAAAUUAGAACCACAAAUUAUCAAAAAGUAACAGAAAAACAAAAAUUCAGUAGUUAGAACAUUACUUUAGCUUUGCAAUUCUCAAUAUCUAGCAUAAGAUAAACCCAUUUGUAUAUCAAAAAAUUCGUUACAUGCUCAGUAUUUACGUAAAACAUUAAAUUGACAGCACCAAGCAAAAUAUAGUUUCAUGUCGCCACCACUAUUGACAAAAUUUAACUGAGAUCUAAACCUACCCUAUGAGAAAACAAACCACCAGAAGCAUGAAAACAACAUGUUGAUACAAAACCAUGCCCUCACAACUCAACUGAAAUCCGAAUUCAAAACUAAGAAAAGUUCUGCCCCAAAUUCAAUUCCAAAGCAUGAAUACAUGCUCCCAGAAGCAACCCAAGUAGAUAUAAAAGAAGAAAUCACAGCACAGCUAGACAUAUCAAAGCUCUGGUUUACUUUCAAUAAUUUAGCCAAGAACAAAAAAAAUGAAAACACCUAAUACAAUUACUUUAGCAAACCCAUAAACAACAAAGUUAACAAAUUAGUUUACGGAAAAUAAAAUAUUUACUGCUCCAUACACACCUGCAAACCUUUUAUCAAAAAGAGAACUUGGACAUUCUAGAAAUUGCAUUAAUCAUGUCAAAUAAACAAACAAAGCUCUGAAUGCCUGAUCAGCCAUAAUAAACAUCAUCCAAAUGUACCCAAAAAAAUGAUUUUACAACAACCUAUUUUCCAAUCAUCUACCAAAAAAUAUUACCACUUUUAAUAAACUAUGUUCUUAAAAAUACAUAUAAUAACAGUUACCUUGUAGAUCUGUCAAGCUCUUCCAUGUCUUCGGUACAUAAACCUUUGAAAAGAAAGGCUAUCCAUCGGCAACGUUCACGGCCAACAAAUAUU